UAUAUAUAUAUAUAGAAUUAGGCUACUAUACUAUCUAUAGUACGGGAGCUCCCGUACUAUAGUGUUGUUUUCGAUCUUAGGUCGUUCAAAUCAACGAUCCACACCGUUAAAUAUGAUCUAGGGUAUAUGAAGUUCUUAGGAAUAAAAUUUUAGUUCUUUUCGAUAUCGUUUACUUAGUAAAUAAAUUUUGUCAAAAUGGACGGUGGGAAUUGAAUACUCUUUAAAAUUUGAGCAUAGGACUUUUAAAUUCAAGAUCAAGAAU
rnacentral:lncRNA from 1 species